rnacentral:tRNA from 1 species
AAAGAGCUGGUUAAUUUAUAACAUGAGUUUGUCAAGCUCAAGUUGCCGUAAAGGUGCUCUUUU